rnacentral:rRNA from 1 species
UACAGAGGGGGCAAGCGUUAUUCGGAAUUAUUGGGCGUAAAGGGCGCGUAGGCGGCCUGGCAAGUGGAAGGUGAAAUCCCUCGGCUUAACCGAGGAACUGCCCUCCAAACUGCUUGGCUUGAGUCCGGGAGAGGUGAGUGGAAUUCCCAGUGUAGCGGUGAAAUGCGUAGAUAUCGGGAGGAACACCUGUGGCGAAAGCGGCGCACUGGACCACAACUGACGCUGAUGCGCGAAAGCUAGGGGAGCAAACAGG